rnacentral:tRNA from 1 species
GUACAGGAAGCGAGAAAUUUGCAUGCGGUUUCGGCCCGUAGAUUGGGGGUGAAAGUCCCUUUCUGUAUU